rnacentral:rRNA from 1 species
UACGUAGGGGGCGAGCGUUGUCCGGAUUUAUUGGGCGUAAAGAGCGUGUAGGCGGCUUUGCAAGUCCGUUGUGAAAACUCGAGGCUCAACCUCGAGACGUCGGCGGAAACCAUCUGGCUAGAGUCCGGAAGAGGAGAGUGGAAUUCCUGGUGUAGCGGUGAAAUGCGCAGAUAUCAGGAAGAACACCCGUGGCGAAGGCGGCUCUCUGGGACGGUACUGACGCUGAGACGCGAAAGCGUGGGGAGCGAACAGG